UGGGGAAUAUUGCACAAUGGGGGAAACCCUGAUGCAGCGACGCCGCGUGAGCGAAGAAGGCCUUCGGGUCGUAAAGCUCUUUUAUAUGGGAAGAUAAUGACGGUACCAUAAGAAAAAGCCCCGGCUAACUACGUGCCAGCAGCCGCGGUAAUACGUAGGGGGCUAGCGUUGUCCGGAAUCACUGGGCGUAAAGCGAGCGCAGGCGGUUAGAAAAGUCUGAAGUGAAAGGCAGUGGCUCAACCAUUGUAGGCUUUGGAAACUGUUUAACUUGAGUGCAGAAGGGGAGAGUGGAAUUCCAUGUGUAGCGGUGAAAUGCGUAGAUAUAUGGAGGAACACCGGUGGCGAAAGCGGCUCUCUGGUCUGUAACUGACGCUGAGGCUCGAAAGCGUGGGGAGCGAACAGG
rnacentral:rRNA from 1 species